UACGUAGGGUGCGAGCGUUGUCCGGAAUUAUUGGGCGUAAAGAGCUCGUAGGCGGUCUGUCGCGUCGAUCGUGAAAACUUGGGGCUUAACCCUGAGCUUGCGGUCGAUACGGGCAUGACUGGAGUUCGGCAGGGGAGACUGGAAUUCCUGGUGUAGCGGUGAAAUGCGCAGAUAUCGGGAGGAACACCGGUGGCGAAGGCGGUUCUCUGGGCCUUACCUGACGCUGAGACGCGAAAGCGUGGGGAGCAAACAGG
rnacentral:rRNA from 1 species